ensembl:lncRNA
GAAGCAGAAGAAAAUAUGAUGAGCUCAAGGAAGACACUGGCAAUGUAUCAAUCCUGGAAACGAAGUAGGCCGAACAGGGGCUUCUCUGGUGGCUCAGUGGUAAAGAGUCUGCCUUCUAAGGCAGGAGACACAGGUUCGAUCCCUGGUCUGGGAAGAUCCCACAUGCCGCGGAGCAGCUAAGCCCGUGUGCCACAGCUACUGAGCCUGUGCUCCACAUCAGCGGAAGACACCACACUGAGAAGCCCAAGCGCCACAGCUAGAGGGUAGCCCCUGCUCGCCACAGCUAGAGACAAGCCUGAGCAGUAACGAAGACCCAGCAAAGCCAAAAAGAGAUACAUAAGAUUAUAAAAUAAAUAAAUAAAUGUUAUCUCACUUGAACUUUAUGCCUCAAUUUUAUAAGCAAUUGUUUCUACUACUUAAUAGAUGAAAAUUUACCCUGGAGGGAAAAGAAACUAACACACUUCAAACAUGUAUUCAGCCAACAUUUUAAAGGACUUUUGGUGUGCGUUAUAGUCAUAGUUGAAGGUCAGCAUGGAUUUAAAAAAAACUGGAAAAAACAGUUCUAGAUCCUACACAUUGUAUGCUGUAUUUUCUGGGUGCAAAACUAGUUAAAAGACCGUGCCUUUCAUGGACUAAUUUAAACCAGACAUAACAGUAGUGCUCAAAUAUAUCCUCAAGCAUAUGUUGCUCCAGGU